AAGUCGUAACAAGGUUUCCGUAGGUGAACCUGCCGGAAGGAUCAUUACCUAGAGUUUGUAGACUUCGGUCUGCUACCUCUUACCCAUGUCUUUUGAGUACCAUUCGUUUCCUACGGCGGGUUCCGCCCCGCCGAUUGGGACAACAUUCAAAACCCUUUGCAGUUGCAAUCAGCGUCUGAAAAAACAUAAUAGUUACAA
rnacentral:misc_RNA from 1 species